UACGAAGGGGGCUAGCGUUGUUCGGAAUUACUGGGCGUAAAGCGCGCGCAGGCGGUCCUUUAAGUCAGGGGUGAAAGCCCAGAGCUCAACUCUGGAACUGCCUUUGAAACUAGAGGACUUGGGUACGGGAGAGGUGAGUGGAAUUCCGAGUGUAGAGGUGAAAUUCGUAGAUAUUAGGAAGAACACCAGUGGCGAAGGCGGCUCACUGGUCCGGUACUGACGCUGAGGUGCGAAAGCGUGGGGAGCAAACAGG
rnacentral:rRNA from 1 species